rnacentral:rRNA from 1 species
GGGUUGUGAGGUUAAGCGACUAAGCGUACACGGUGGAUGCCCUGGCAGUCAGAGGCGAUGAAGGACGUGCUAAUCUGCGAAAAGCGUCGGUAAGGUGAUAUGAACCGUUAUAACCGGCGAUGUCCGAAUGGGGAAACCCAGUGCAAUUCGUUGCACUAUCGUUAACUGAAUACAUAGGUUAACGAGGCGAACCGGGGGAACUGAAACAUCUAAGUACCCCGAGGAAAAGAAAUCAACCGAGAUUCCCCCAGUAGCGGCGAGCGAACGGGGAGCAGCCCAGAGUCUGAAUCAGCUUGUGUGUUAGUGGAACGGUCUGGAAAGUCCGACGGUACAGGGUGAUAGUCCCGUACACCAAAAUGCACAGGUUGUGAACUCGAAGAGUAGGGCGGGACACGUGGUAUCCUGUCUGAAUAUGGGGGGACCAUCCUCCAAGGCUAAAUACUCCUGACUGACCGAUAGUGAACCAGUACCGUGAGGGAAAGGCGAAAAGAACCCCGGCGAGGGGAGUGAAAAAGAACCUGAAACCGUGUACGUACAAGCAGUGGGAGCACCUUCGGGUGUGACUGCGUACCUUUUGUAUAAUGGGUCAGCGACUUAUAUUCUGUAGCAAGGUUAACCGUAUAGGGGAGCCGCAGGGAAACCGAGUCUUAACUGGGCGUUAAGUUGCAGGGUAUAGACCCGAAACCCGGUGAUCUAGCCAUGGGCAGGUUGAAGGUUGGGUAACACUAACUGGAGGACCGAACCGACUAAUGUUGAAAAAUUAGCGGAUGACUUGUGGCUGGGGGUGAAAGGCCAAUCAAACCGGGAGAUAGCUGGUUCUCCCCGAAAGCUAUUUAGGUAGCGCCUCGUGAAUUCAUCUUCGGGGGUAGAGCACUGUUUCGGCUAGGGGGUCAUCCCGACUUACCAACCCGAUGCAAACUACGAAUACCGAAGAAUGUUAUCACGGGAGACACACGGCGGGUGCUAACGUCCGUCGUGAAGAGGGAAACAACCCAGACCGCCAGCUAAGGUCCCAAAGUCAUGGUUAAGUGGGAAACGAUGUGGGAAGGCACAGACAGCCAGGAUGUUGGCUUAGAAGCAGCCAUCAUUUAAAGAAAGCGUAAUAGCUCACUGGUCGAGUCGGCCUGCGCGGAAGAUGUAACGGGGCUAAACCAUGCACCGAAGCUGCGGCAGCGACACUAUGUGUUGUUGGGUAGGGGAGCGUUCUGUAAGCCUGCGAAGGUGACCUGUGAGGGUUGCUGGAGGUAUCAGAAGUGCGAAUGCUGACAUAAGUAACGAUAAAGCGGGUGAAAAGCCCGCUCGCCGGAAGACCAAGGGUUCCUGUCCAACGUUAAUCGGGGCAGGGUGAGUCGACCCCUAAGGCGAGGCCGAAAGGCGUAGUCGAUGGGAAACAGGUUAAUAUUCCUGUACUUGGUGUUACUGCGAAGGGGGGACGGAGAAGGCUAUGUUAGCCGGGCGACGGUUGUCCCGGUUUAAGCAUGUAGGCUGAUUGUCCAGGCAAAUCCGGAUAAUCAAGGCUGAGGUGUGAUGACGAGGCACUACGGUGCUGAAGUAACAAAUGCCCUGCUUCCAGGAAAAGCCUCUAAGCAUCAGGUAACAUCAAAUCGUACCCCAAACCGACACAGGUGGUCAGGUAGAGAAUACCAAGGCGCUUGAGAGAACUCGGGUGAAGGAACUAGGCAAAAUGGUGCCGUAACUUCGGGAGAAGGCACGCUGGUGUGUAGGUGAAGUCCCUGCGGAUGGAGCUGAGACCAGUCGAAGAUACCAGCUGGCUGCAACUGUUUAUUAAAAACACAGCACUGUGCAAACACGAAAGUGGACGUAUACGGUGUGACGCCUGCCCGGUGCCGGAAGGUUAAUUGAUGGGGUUAUCCGUAAGGAGAAGCUCUUGAUCGAAGCCCCGGUAAACGGCGGCCGUAACUAUAACGGUCCUAAGGUAGCGAAAUUCCUUGUCGGGUAAGUUCCGACCUGCACGAAUGGCGUAAUGAUGGCCAGGCUGUCUCCACCCGAGACUCAGUGAAAUUGAACUCGCUGUGAAGAUGCAGUGUACCCGCGGCAAGACGGAAAGACCCCGUGAACCUUUACUAUAGCUUGACACUGAACAUUGAGCCUUGAUGUGUAGGAUAGGUGGGAGGCUUUGAAGCGUGGACGCCAGUCUGCGUGGAGCCAACCUUGAAAUACCACCCUUUAAUGUUUGAUGUUCUAACGUUGGCCCCUUACCGGGGUUGCGGACAGUGUCUGGUGGGUAGUUUGACUGGGGCGGUCUCCUCCCAAAGCGUAACGGAGGAGCACGAAGGUUAGCUAAUCCUGGUCGGACAUCAGGAGGUUAGUGCAAUGGCAUAAGCUAGCUUGACUGCGAGCGUGACGGCGCGAGCAGGUGCGAAAGCAGGUCAUAGUGAUCCGGUGGUUCUGAAUGGAAGGGCCAUCGCUCAACGGAUAAAAGGUACUCCGGGGAUAACAGGCUGAUACCGCCCAAGAGUUCAUAUCGACGGCGGUGUUUGGCACCUCGAUGUCGGCUCAUCACAUCCUGGGGCUGAAGUAGGUCCCAAGGGUAUGGCUGUUCGCCAUUUAAAGUGGUACGCGAGCUGGGUUUAGAACGUCGUGAGACAGUUCGGUCCCUAUCUGCCGUGGGCGCUGGAGAAUUGAGGGGGGCUGCUCCUAGUACGAGAGGACCGGAGUGGACGCAUCACUGGUGUUCGGGUUGUCAUGCCAAUGGCACUGCCCGGUAGCUAAAUGCGGAAGAGAUAAGUGCUGAAAGCAUCUAAGCACGAAACUUGCCCCGAGAUGAGUUCUCCCUGAGACUUUAAGUCUCCUGAAGGAACGUUAAAGACGAUGACGUUGAUAGGCCGGGUGUGUAAGCGCAGCGAUGCGUUGAGCUAACCGGUACUAAUGAACCGUGAGGCUUAACCUUACAACGCCGAAG